UCCAUACUACAGACGAAGAUGAGAAAACAGCAAUGGAAUUAGUGGUAACUCUUCAUUCAUGAGAAACUUGGCAUUCAACAUGUGUGAAAAACAAAACCCAUUUUAAUGUCUUCAACAGUCACCACAAAGGAAAUGUGCAGCAUCACGCGUGUUCUCUAACGACAGCGCUGCUUGGAACCACGUUCCUCUUUGAUAGUCUAGGAUUCUCUAAAGAUGAAAACCACUAUACUUCACUUAUAAAAGGCAAGGAUGACUUCUAACAAUACAGGAGAUCUUCAAAGACUGCCUCAGUU